rnacentral:rRNA from 1 species
CCUACGGGCGGCAGCAGUGAGGAAUAUUGGUCAAUGGGCGGAAGUCUGAACCAGCCAUGCAGCGUGAAGGAUGACUGCUCUAUGAGUUGUAAACUGCUUUUGUACGGGGGUAAACCUCAGUACGUAUAUUCAGCUGCAAGUACUUUACGAAUAAGGAUCGGCUAACUCCGUGCCAGCAGCCGCGGUAAUACGGAGGAUCCAAGCGUUAUCCGGAUUUAUUGGGUUUAAAGGGUGCGUAGGCGGAUUGAUAAGUUAGAGGUGAAAUGUUCCGGCUUAACUCUGGAACUGCCUUUAAUACUGUUGAUCUAGAGAGUAGAUGCGGUAGGCGGAAUGUAUGGUGUAGCGGUGAAAUGCUUAGAGAUCAUAAAGAACACCGAUUGCGAAGGCAGCUUACCAAUCUAUAUCUGACGUUGAGGCACGAAAGCGUGGGGAGCAAACAGGAUUAGAUACCCUUGUAGUC